ACCCAGCUGACGAAACCCAAACAGGAUGAAACGCGCGUCCUGGAU
rnacentral:hammerhead_ribozyme from 1 species